rnacentral:rRNA from 1 species
GUCGGUGACGAUAGGUCCGGGGAAACACCUGAUCCCAUUCCGAACUCAGAAGUGAAGCCCGGGCCGCCGAUGAUACUGCUACGCGGGAAAGUAGGUCAUUGCCGACU